rnacentral:lncRNA from 1 species
UGCAGUUCUGUGUGCCGCCGCGUAGGGUGGGACCCCGAGACUGCAGCCUGGCACGUGAUGUGUGUGUGUGUGUGUGUCUUGUCUGAUGUGUCGGUGUCCCUGACGGCCAGGUUCCAGCCUUACCUCUGCCUAUCCCCUGUUCUGUGCAUGGGGCAGGUGACUGCCCCUCUCUGUGCCUCAGUUUCCUUACCUAUACAUUGGGCAUGAAAAAAGAACCUGUCUUGGGGGCUGUUGUAAUGAUUGGAAGGUAAUACUGUAAAUCUUGGGAAACGCCUGGCGCAGAGUAAAUCCUGCCAAGAAUAAAUACAUGAAAUAAACUACGCUUAUGCAUCUUUUGUGCCCAUGUGUGUUGAUGUCUGUGGUGUGAGACUGCAGUGGAUAAGGAGUCCUCAUAAUCACGUCUAAAGAGUGUGUCCAUUCAUGCUGUCUAUUUAGCCAAUGCAACCGGGAACCAGUUGCCAUGACAACGCUC